rnacentral:rRNA from 1 species
UAACACGUGGAUAACCUGCCUUAUACUGGGGGAUAACAGCCAGAAAUGGCUGCUAAUACCGCAUAAGCGCACGGCGCCGCAUGGCGCAGUGUGAAAAACUCCGGUGGUAUAAGAUGGAUCCGCGCCUGAUUAGCUAGUUGGCGGGGCAGCGGCCCACCAAGGCGACGAUCAGUAGCCGGCCUGAGAGGGCGACCCGGCCACAUUGGGACUGAGACACGGCCCAAACUCCUACGGAAGGCAGCAG